UACGAAGGGGGCUAGCGUUACUCGGAAUGACUGGGCGUAAAGGGCGCGUAGGCGGUUUGUUUAGUUAGGCGUGAAAUUCCUGGGCUCAACCUGGGGGCUGCGUUUGAUACGUGCAGACUUGAGUUCGGAAGAGGGUCGUGGAAUUCCCAGUGUAGAGGUGAAAUUCGUAGAUAUUGGGAAGAACACCGGUGGCGAAGGCGGCGACCUGGUCCGAUACUGACGCUGAGGCGCGAAAGCGUGGGGAGCAAACAGG
rnacentral:rRNA from 1 species